rnacentral:ncRNA from 1 species
UAUCUUCAGGGCAGGGUGAGAUUCCCGACCGGCGGUAAAGUCCGCGAGCGCUCAGGCGCAGGAUUUGGUGAAAUUCCAAAACCGACAGUAAAGUCUGGAUGGAAGAAGAU